rnacentral:rRNA from 1 species
ACUAUGCCUAACCGUAACAUAACAAUUAAAUCACCAAUUGUUCGCCAAAUAACUACGAGUAAAAACUUAAAAUUUAAAAGACUUGACGGUACCUCACAACAGCCUAGAGGAGCCUGUCCAUAACCGAUACCCCCCGAUUAACCCAACCCCCCCUAGCCCAAACAGUCUAUAUACCGCCGUCGCCAGCCUACCUUAUGAAAGAAAAAAAGUAAGCAAAACAGCCUACACACUAACACGACAGGUCGAGGUGUAACUCAUGGUGGGGCCAAGAUGGGCUACACUUUCUAUUACAGAAAAUACGAACAGACUCUGAAAAGAGAAACUGAAGGCGGAUUUAGCAGUACACUAGGAACAAAAUACCUAGUCGAAACCAAUGCAAUGAGGUGCGU